ACUGUGGCAGUCAAGUAUUAGCAAAGUUAUUUCAACCUUUGAUGUCAGUUUUUCCUGUCACCACAAAACAAAAUUCACCAUGUGUUGGUCAGUUCACCUAUUAACAAUGAACACAAGCCGAGUUUAGACUGUCAUGAGACAAGCU
rnacentral:ncRNA from 1 species